GUCAAAAUGAUUCCCAACAACAGAUAUCUCGGCUUUUACAUCGAUGAAGAACGUAGAGAAAUGGGAUACUCGGUGUGAAUUGCAGAAUCUCGUGAACCAUCGAGUCUUUGAAUGUAAGUUGUGCCCGAAGCCUUCGGGCCGAGAGCACGCCUGCCUGGGCAUCAUGCAUCGCGUCGC
rnacentral:rRNA from 1 species